UUCACUCUUUCUCUUCCAACUACUGGUGGCAUUUUGACUCGGCGAUGGUUGCUCCUGCUCCUGCUCGGUCUGGACGGCAUCGUCGGGAUCGCCCUCCUGAGAUACGGGUGGCCGUUAUUGUCGUGUGCAUCGUGCAGGCAUGCGUCUUCUUCCUGCGGAUUCUUAGUCGGUGACGACAGGCGCUGCUGUGCGUGGUCAGUUGGCUAAGGUUGAUUCAGGCCGGCGUUUUCACUCCGCGGCUCGCCGGCCGUUUCGUUCUCACCGGCUUGGUGGGUUUCCUUGCCUGAACCGCACGGUACGGUACGCCUGCCCGCGCGUCGACGGGGCAUCUUGCUCGGGCAGGACCAAGAGUACGACGAUGCCGAUGAGCACGCGCGCGCUUGCCGGCGAAGAUGAGGAAUCCUGUGAGCAGCGCGCCGGGGAAGGCCGGCUAGGGGAAGUCCUUGAGCUUGGUGCGGAUGGAGUCUUCGGCCAGCUUCUUGGUCUUCUUCUAAGGCGCGGGCACGGGUGGCCCUCCGUGCACGGGUGGCCCUCCUUUUCAGUUGAACUAUUGUUAUUUGUUACUGUAUUUUUCAGGACAUCCGUGUAAGUUCUUCUGAACAUUUUCCACCUCUAUAUGUUGAAUUAAAGUUUCUAGAGAAACAAAGUUCAGUGAUCUCUGUUUGUGAAGGUAGUUGGUGUUAUAUUUUUGUCACCAUAUGGUUUUGCUUUUGAAGACUUAGAGCAUCUUGUGGCAAUUUGCCCGAAGAAACCAGUUUGGUUUUCCAUUUAUUGGGCAUUUCUUGAAAAGCAGCUGCAUUGCAGGGAUCUCAACCGAGAGUGCUGUAUACUGUUGCUCUUGGUAUUUGGCACAUGCAUUAAUCAGAGGUGGUUUGCCCUAAUGAUGAGUGUACAACGAACGAUCUUUGGAGAUCAAUUGGCGAUCACAUAUUCUUGAAAGGAAAUUGACAUAUCAUUACUGUUUGUGACAUAAAGAUACCAAAUCUCUAAGAAAAUACCAGUGUUACGGGCUAAGUAUAAGGGCAACGAAACGUUAGCAUGAACAUCUACAGAUUCUGAAACUGUCGUUUGUUAUCAUGCUUUGCAGGUAGUGCAGAUUUUCAGAGAUCGCUGAAAUCCACGACUUGCUGAUUGGUCUGCCAGCGAUUUGUACAUAAAGUUUGUAUGUAAUUUUUCCAUGGUUGAGACAUGGAAUGUUUUUAUUUCGUCCAGGUGGAAGACGAUCGUCGUUACAUGAGAAGAACGUAAAAAGGUAACUGAUCUUUCCGUUUCUUACAGAUAGCAGCAUAAUAUUCCUA